rnacentral:rRNA from 1 species
AUUGAACGCUGGCGGCAGGCUUAACACAUGCAAGUCGAGCGGGGACUUCGGUCCUAGCGGCGAACGGGUGAGGAAUGCUUGGGAAUCUGCCCAGUAGCGGGGGAUAACGUUUCGAAAGGAACGCUAAUACCGCAUACGCCCUACGGGGGAAAGGGGGGGAUCUUCGGACCUCUCACUAUUGGAUGAGCCCAAGUCGGAUUAGCUAGUUGGUGGGGUAAAGGCCUACCAAGGCGACGAUCCGUAGCUGGUCUGAGAGGAUGAUCAGCCACACUGGAACUGAGACACGGGCCAGACUCCUACGGGAGGCAGCAGUGGGGAAUAUUGGACAAUGGGCGAAAGCCUGAUCCAGCCAUGCCGCGUGUGUGAAGAAGGCCUUCGGGUUGUAAAGCACUUUAAGCGAGGAGGAAUGGCUCUGGGUUAAUACCCUUGAGCAGUGACGUUACUCGCAGAAUAAGCACCGGCUAACUCUGUGCCAGCCGCCGCAGUAACAC